rnacentral:rRNA from 1 species
AGCAGUCGCCGCGGGAAUACGUAGGUCCCGAGCGUUGUCCGGAUUUAUUGGGCGUAAAGCGAGCGCAGGCGGUUAGAUAAGUCUGAAGUUAAAGGCUGUGGCUUAACCAUAGUACGCUUUGGAAACUGUUUAACUUGAGUGCAAGAGGGGAGAGUGGAAUUCCAUGUGUAGCGGUGAAAUGCGCAGAUAUAUGGAGGAACACCGGUGGCGAAAGCGGCUCUCUGGUCUGUAACUGACGCUGAGGCUCGAAAGCGUGGGGAGCGAACAGGAUUAGAUACCCCGGUAGUCCCUGUCUCUUAUACA